ACACGUGGUAGAGGAGCUUUCUGUACAGGUUGAAGUCAUACCGUAAGGAGUGGUGGACAGUACAGAAGUGAGAAUGCUGGCAUAAGUAGCGAAAAACAAGUGAGAAUCUUGUUGACCGAAUAUCUAAGGUUUCCUGGGGAAGGCUCGUCCUCCCAGGGUUAGUCGGGACCUAAGCCGAGGCCGAAAGGCGUAGGUGAUGGACAACUGGUUGAUAUUCCAGUACCACCAUAAUGCGUUUGACAAAUGGGAUGACGCAGGAGGAUAGGAUGUGCGCACUAUUGGAUGUGCGUCUAAGCACUUAGGGUGUUAAGUAGGCAAAUCCGCUUAACAUUAAGCCUGAGGUGUGAUGGGGAGCCUAUUUUGGCGAAGUAUCUGAUUCCACGCUGCCAAGAAAAGUCUCUAUGGAGCAAAGUGGUGCCCGUACCGCAAACCGACACAGGUAGAUGAGGAGAGAAUCCUAAGGUCGUCGGAAGAAUUAUUGCUAAGGAACUCGGCAAAUUGACCCCGUAACUUAGGGAGAAGGGG
rnacentral:rRNA from 1 species